rnacentral:tRNA from 3 species
GCGUUCAUAGCUCAGUUGGUUAGAGCACCACCUUGACAUGGUGGGGGCCGUUGGUUCGAGUCCAAUUGAACGCACCA